rnacentral:rRNA from 1 species
AGUGAACGCUGGCGGUAGGCCUAACACAUGCAAGUCGAACGGCAGCACAGUAAGAGCUUGCUCUUACGGGUGGCGAGUGGCGGACGGGUGAGGAAUACAUCGGAAUCUACUUUUUCGUGGGGGAUAACGUAGGGAAACUUACGCUAAUACCGCAUACGACCUACGGGUGAAAGUAGGGGAUCUUCGGACCUUGCGCGAUUGAAUGAGCCGAUGUCGGAUUAGCUAGUUGGCGGGGUAAAGGCCCACCAAGGCGACGAUCCGUAGCUGGUCUGAGAGGAUGAUCAGCCACACUGGAACUGAGACACGGUCCAGACUCCUACGGGAGGCAGCCGUGGGGAAUAUUGGACAAUGGGCGCAAGCCUGAUCCAGCCAUACCGCGUGGGUGAAGAAGGCCUUCGGGUUGUAAAGCCCUUUUGUUGGGAAAGAAAAGCAGCAGGUUAAUACCCCGCUGUUCUGACGGUACCCAAAGAAUAAGCACCGGCUAACUUCGUG